AUUGCUUCUCGACCUUUUGGCUAAGAUCAAGUGUAGUAUUUGUAAUCAGUUUUAUUGGUGGAUCAGGCACCACUGAUGUAUGACUGGUGAGGAUGGGUGCUGCAUGGAAGGGGCAGGUGUCCCGGGGCUGGUUUAGAAGGAAUCAGCUCAACAGCUAUCCUGAUGUGACCUGCUUUCUUCGGGUCUCA